GCCGCGGUCGCCUAAAGGUAUGGCGACGGCCUCAGCCGCCGUACCCGCAAGGGUGUCUGGGUUCAAAUCCCAGCCGCGGCG
rnacentral:tRNA from 1 species